GGGAAUGUGGCUCAGUGGUAGAGCUCUUGCCUUGCACGUACAAGGCUCUGGGUUCAAUACUCAGCACCACCA
rfam:Cavia porcellus supercont2_30 genomic scaffold, whole genome shotgun sequence.